AGAACGAACGCUGGCGGCGUGGAUAAGACAUGCAAGUCGAGCGCUGAUUAAAGGGUAGCAAUAUCUUUUAAUUGGAGCGGCGCAAGGGUGCGUAACACGUGGGUAAUUUGCCAUAAAGUUGGGGAUAACUCGCUGAAAGGCGAGCUAAUACCGAAUGUGGCCCGAUGGAGGCAUCUCUGUUUGGCUAAAGUUGGGGACCGUAAGGCCUGACGCUUUUUGAUGAACCCGCGGCCUAUCAGCUAGUUGGUGAGGUAACGGCCCACCAAGGCUAAGACGGGUAGCUGGUCUGAGAGGACGACCAGCCACACUGGAACUGAGACACGGUCCAGACACCUACGGGUGGCAGCAGUCGAGAAUUUUUCAC
rnacentral:rRNA from 1 species